ACAUCAAUCAAUAUUUGGUGGAAGCAGAUAUAUCAAACCCCUUAAUCAGUAUUUUGUGGAAGCAGGUAUAUCGCAGGCCUCAAUCAAUAUUUGGUAGAAACAGGUAUAUCAAACCCCUUAAUCAGUAUUUUGUUAAAGCAGG